AUGAACGCUGGCGGCGUGCUUAACACAUGCAAGUCGAACGAAGCACCUCUCCCGAAGAUUGACACAGCUUGCUGUAGAUUGAUUCAUUUGAGGUGACUGAGUGGCGGACGGGUGAGUAACGCGUGGGUAACCUGCCUCAUAGAGGGGGACAACAGUUGGAAACGACUGCUAAUACCGCAUAGUAAGAAAGAUUCGCAUGUUUCUUUCUUGAAAGAUUUAUCGCUAUGAGAUGGACCCGCGUCUGAUUAGCUAGUUGGUAAGGUAACGGCGUACCAAGGCGACGAUCAGUAGCCGGCUUGAGAGAGUGAACGGCCACAUUGGGACUGAGACACGGCCCAAACUCCUACGGGAGGCAGCAGUGGGGAAUAUUGCACAAUGGGGGAAACCCUGAUGCAGCGACGCCGCGUGAGUGAAGAAGUAUUUCGGUAUGUAAAGCUCUAUCAGCAGGGAAGAUAAUGACGGUACCUGACUAAGAAGCCCCGGCUAACUACGUGCCAGCAGCCGCGGUAAUACGUAGGGGGCAAGCGUUAUCCGGAUUUACUGGGUGUAAAGGGUGCGUAGGUGGCAAGGCAAGUCAGAUGUGAAAGCCCGGGGCUCAACCCCGGUACUGCAUUUGAAACUGUCUAGCUAGAGUGCAGGAGAGGUAAGCGGAAUUCCUAGUGUAGCGGUGAAAUGCGUAGAUAUUAGGAGGAACACCAGUGGCGAAGGCGGCUUACUGGACUGUAACUGACACUGAGGCACGAAAGCGUGGGGAGCAAACAGGAUUAGAUACCCUGGUAGUCCACGCCGUAAACGAUGAGUGCUAAGUGUUAGGGGGUUUCCGCCCCUUAGUGCUGCAGCUAACGCAUUAAGCACUCCGCCUGGGGAGUACGACCGCAAGGUUGAAACUCAAAGGAAUUGACGGGGACCCGCACAAGCGGUGGAGCAUGUGGUUUAAUUCGAAGCAACGCGAAGAACCUUACCAAGUCUUGACAUCCUUCUGACCGUUCCUUAGCCGGAACUUCUCUUCGGAGCAGAAGUGACAGGUGGUGCAUGGUUGUCGUCAGCUCGUGUCGUGAGAUGUUGGGUUAAGUCCCGCAACGAGCGCAACCCUUAUCCUUAGUAGCCAGCGGUUCGGCCGGGCACUCUGGGGAGACUGCCGGAGAUAAUCCGGAGGAAGGUGGGGAUGACGUCAAAUCAUCAUGCCCCUUACGAGCAGGGCUACACACGUGCUACAAUGGCGCAUACAAAGAGAAGCGACCUCGCGAGAGCAAGCGGACCUCAUAAAGUGCGUCGUAGUCCGGAUUGGAGUCUGCAACUCGACUCCAUGGAGUCGGAAUCGCUAGUAAUCGCAGGUCAGCAUACUGCGGUGAAUACGUUCCCGGGCCUUGUACACACCGCCCGUCACACCAUGGGAGUUGGUAACGCCCGAAGUCAGUGACCCAACCUUUCAGGAGGGAGCUGCCGACGGCGGGACUGAUAACUGGGGUG
rnacentral:rRNA from 1 species